rnacentral:lncRNA from 1 species
CAAUGGCCGCUUUCGAUCGUACCCAGCAAUCUCCUCGACUUAAUUGUCAAUGAAUCUUAACUGUAAAACACUUAACAGUGAAUCAAUUCAACUGUGUUAUGUGCAAUAUUUUUUUAUUAUUAUCUUACGAUCACGGCGAGAGGGAUCUGUGAGAACCAACAAUCAACAUUUCCUUCAAGCUGGUUGCUAUAUGUAUACAGAAAAAAAUUGCCAUAGGCGGGAUUGUGAAGAUUGAAGACGAUGAGUAAAACCGGAUCAGUCAACGAGAAAGAACAGACAACCAGUUUCACCGGGAUACCACUGUGAAUUGCACGGAUUGCCUGGGCAUAUCCUGACAGUUUGAGGAUACUGCAACCCUCAGGGUUUUACCCCAUGCAGAUUUAGUUAGUGAAUUGUAGCUCAACUCAAUAAGGAGCUUUCGGUCAACUAUAUUUUCCACUUUAUUAAUUGUUGCAUGGGCAGAUCCGUCGUGUUAAACUAAUGGACUGCCCUACCGUCUUCCAGCAGGGCGAUUGAUGGUGUCUUGCCUAUCGCGAAAGAGGUAUCAUUUUCUUUUGUAUUCAUUUAUUGGUUGACUGCGGUUAUGAUUUGGUUUCGACUACAUUGACAAUACAGCCGGGAACCUUCACCUUCUGCAAUUGUCAGCGAGUAUCGCCAUAGAGAGAGACUUUAUCAGAACAAUCAGUUUCAAAGUAGGACUUUUGGCGCGUUUUGGCUUGCAAAGUUGCAAUUGGCCAAUUGCAGAGAUGCGGACGUUUUUAAUUGAAAGACAGAGAAUGGCAAUGUUGCCCGUUGCUUCCAACUUCAAGAUGGCUGCUGGCAUUCGAGAAUCGAGAUACGACGAGAAAUGACAGCAAGUGACAGUUCCCUAGAGUGAUGGAUCAUCUCGACUCCCGAGUCCUGAUUCAAGAUUUUCGUGGUGUUGUGGAAAGGAGAGCUACAGAUGGAAAUGCUAGAUGAGCAUAUUCAGCCUGCAUUUGCGUUUUCAAAAGAGUUCUUGCAAUUGUUCCAUGGUGGUUCUGGACUCCAGGUUUUGUGGUGUUGUGGAGAUUAAGAAUGGACAUGCUGUUUUAACUUUCUUUGAACUAUUUACAAAGCUGAAAAGGUUGAAGAAAAUUAAAUUGUGAAUAAAAUGUUGGGUCUUAAAUAGUGGUAAAUGUGUUAAAUAUCAGUUUGCAAAGGGAGAAUGUGUGAAAGUUUGAAAUUUGUUUCAGUUGAAUAAUUUUCCGGUUUUCGAUCUGAUGUCUAAAUAUGAUGCAUAUAAAAUGUAUUUUUUCAUCAAUAGUACAAGUUAUCUUCAGAGUACAAGCUGACAUCAGAGGAAUUUAAAUUCAUAUCUAUGUGAUUGUGUUUGAUUAGGUAAUGAUUGAAUAAAUGGAAUGCAAAUUAGA